GUUUUUGUAGUUGAGUAACAACGAUGGUUUUCACGCCAUAGGUCCUGGUUAAAAUCCUGGCAGAAACU
rnacentral:tRNA from 1 species